UACGUGAGGUGGCAAGCGUUGUCCGGAUUUACUGGGCGUAAAGAGCGCGCAGGCGGUCGUUCAAGUCGGGUGUGAAAGCCCUCAGCUCAACUGAGGAAGUGCGCCCGAAACUGCAUAGCUUGAGUACCGGAGAGGAUGGUGGAAUUCCUAGUGUAGAGGUGAAAUUCGUAGAUAUUAGGAAGAACACCAGUGGCGAAGGCGGCUCACUGGCCCGGUACUGACGCUGAGGCGCGAAAGCGUGGGGAGCAAACAGG
rnacentral:rRNA from 1 species